GAUGAACGCUGGCGGCGUGCCUAAUACAUGCAAGUCGAGCGAAUGGAUUAAGAGCUUGCUCUUAUGAAGUUAGCGGCGGACGGGUGAGUAACACGUGGGUAACCUGCCCAUAAGACUGGGAUAACUCCGGGAAACCGGGGCUAAUACCGGAUAACAUUUUGAACCGCAUGGUUCGAAAUUGAAAGGCGGCUUCGGCUGUCACUUAUGGAUGGACCCGCGUCGCAUUAGCUAGUUGGUGAGGUAACGGCUCACCAAGGCAACGAUGCGUAGCCGACCUGAGAGGGUGAUCGGCCACACUGGGACUGAGACACGGCCCAGACUCCUACGGGAGGCAGCAGUAGGGAAUCUUCCACAAUGGACGAAAGUCUGAUGGAGCAACGCCGCGUGAGUGAUGAAGGUUUUCGGAUCGUAAAACUCUGUUGUAAGGGAAGAACACGUACGAGAGGAAAUGCUCGUACCUUGGCGGUACCUUACGAGAAAGCCACGGCUAACUACGUGCCAGCAGCCGCCGUAA
rnacentral:rRNA from 1 species